UGCGGAGGACAUUACCGAUUUUAGCGUGCCUGGUCAUUGACCAUGGUCUCGCGAAAUUUUGUAUUUAAAACCCACACUUUUAAUUUUUUAAAUCAUACAUUAUGAUAAAAAUAAAAUCCCUUUUCACAACGGAACUCUUGGGUCUCGCCUCGAUUAAGAACGGAACGAAAGGGGAUAAGGAAUGUGAAUUGCAAAAUUCCGGGAGUCAUCCAAUCUUUGAACGCCAAAUGCACUCCCUGGGAUUUCGGGAAGGAUGCCCGUUUGAGGGGCCGUUAAAAUAAAAACGAUGUGUCGCUUUUUGAGACUUCCGAAAUGGGCUCACUGUGAUCUGGGGUAGAGACCCUAAAUAGAUAUAUCUUUCCAGACCUUGGAGCAUGUAUCCCUCUCGGGCGGAGAUUUUUUCAUAGGUAAGCCUGCGAUGCGUG
rnacentral:rRNA from 1 species